AGUGAACGCUGGCGGCAGGCCUAAUACAUGCAAGUCGAACGGACAGACAAUAAGCUUUCUCCUCUAACGGUAGCGGCUGGCGGGUGAGUAAGGCGUAGAUAAGCUACCUAUUUUUCUUGGGGGACUUCGUAAGACAAGUUAUGAUACCACAGCAUAUAUUCUACGGGAGAGAUCAAUGGUUAAUCGGAGUUUUGGUGUCAGUUAUAGAUGGUGCCGUGUCGCAUUAGCUAGUUGGUAAGGUAACGGCUUACCAAGGCUACGAUGCGUAGCUGAUCUGAGAGGAUGAUCAGCCACACUGGAACUGAGACACGGUCCAGACUCCUACGGGAGGCAGCAGUGGGGAAUAUUGGACAAUGGGCGCAAGCCUGAUCCAGCCAUGCCGCGUGAGUGAAGAAGGCCUUCGGAUUGUAAAGCCCUUUUAUUAGGGAAGAAAAACAGCAUAUGAAUACCCCGCUGUUCUGACGGUACCCAAAGAGUAAGCACCGGCUAACUUCGUG
rnacentral:rRNA from 1 species